UACAGAGGGUGCGAGCGUUGUCCGGAUUUAUUGGGCGUAAAGAGCGUGUAGGCGCCAGACAGGUCCGUUGUGAAACUCGAGGCUCAACCUCGAGACGCCGAUGGAAACCGUCUGGCUAGAGUCCGGAAGAGGAGAAUGGAAUUCCUGGUGUAGCGGUGAAAUGCGCAGAGUAUCAGGAAGAACACCCGUGGCUAAGGCGGUUCUCUAGUACGGUACUGACGCUGAGACGCGAAAGCGUGGGGAGCGAACAGG
rnacentral:rRNA from 1 species